UCAGGCCUAACACAUGCAAGUCGCACGAGAAAGGGCGCAAGCCCCGGUACAGUGGCGCACGGGUGAGUAACACGUAGAUGACCUUCCCUGGAGUGGUGGAUAACCUGCCGAAAGGCGGGCUAAUACAGCAUAGGACCACGCGGUUUUGACUGUGUGGUGAAAGCGGGCCUCUGUUCACAUGCUCGCGCUUCGGGAUGGGUCUGCGGCCCAUCAGCUAGUUGGUGAGGUAACGGCUCACCAAGGCAACGACGGGUAGCUGGUCUGAGAGGAUGAUCAGCCACACUGGAACUGAGACACGGUCCAGACUCCUACGGGAGGCAGCAGUGGGGAAUCUUGCGCAAUGGGCGAAAGCCUGACGCAGCGACGCCGCGUGGGUGACGAAGGCCUUCGGGUUGUAAAGCCCUGUGGGGAGGAACGAACCGUGGUCGGGCGAACACCCCGG
rnacentral:rRNA from 1 species